GCCUGGUGCCCAAGGCCUGACUGCUGAAUGUUUACCUCUGCUUUAAUGUUAAUGCAUGAUCCCUCGAGAACUCCUCAGCUCUGCUUAGAUUCAUCACUCUGCAGGCAGGAGCACCACAGACCUGGAGUUGUUCCAUGGAAACUCUGCGCUCCAUCUACCAUGCGCCGCGUCGGUUUUGAAGUCAUUGCAGCAAACAAGGUAUUUAUGUAAUUGUCUCAAAUUAUAGGCAAUUUACCUGCCACCAACUUUCCCCUGUAAAUUUCUCUGACUCUGCCUAGACCAGCACCAGAUAGAGUUUAUUAAAAGUUCUGACCCAGUCAGUAAAAGGAAAAAUGCACUGCAGUGUUUAAUUAAGUCUGUCGUUAAACGUUGAGCUCUUAACAUAAAUCAUGCUCUUGUUUCAUCAGGGCAAAAUUCUUGCUUCCUCAUGCUUACAGCUCAUACAUUUAGGGGUCAAAUCUCAAAAGUCUUCUUUUGCUUUUGUUUAAGCCAGAAAUAUUCCCCAUCAUAAUUCUUCAAUCACAAGGCAGUUUAAACUGUGCAUUAGUUUCAUCAUGACAUGUUAAACAGCUUUCGGAAUUGCAUCAGAUGUCGUGGGCAGAUAAAAUGGCUCAUUAAUCAGUCGAUAUAGUGAAGAUGCAACAUAUGAAGCAAUAUGGAGGCCAUGCAAACUCCACUGAUUGCUAUCCAGCUGAGUCGCAUUACAAAAACCCCUGCAGUCUUAUUGCAACCUGUUAUUAGUUUUGGAUGGGGUUUCCCCAUAGCCGCACAUUGAAAUGAAAUGGAAAACCAUCCAGAUGUCUAUCUGAAAGUGCUGAGGCUUCUUCUUUGGGUCCUUAAAGACUAUGGAGGGGGUUCCCUGGUGUUCCUGGAUGUGCUUCACGUUGAGGAUGGGAUUACACUCAAGUCUGAUGAACGGGCCCACUGGGACCAGGAACUUGAGACAUCUGGCGUCGGGGGUGGGGUGGUCGUGUGGAGUAGUCCCCCCCAUCAGGAAGCCCUGACAGCCCACUGACAGAUAACAGCUGCUGGGAAAGCCUCCCACCGCUUCAAGCUACUGUUCCCUUUCCAGACCAAAGUAUGUGAUCAGUGAAGAGUGGACACAGUGCCAAGAAUGUGACUUUGCCUUAAGUGAGGAGCGUUUUUUUUUUUUGGAAGUUGGAGUAUCUGUGUUUUUUCCCCUUGCAGAGUUUCUCUUACCAGUGAAGAUGGAGGAAAUGGAAAACCUGAAGUGGAUAUUGGGCGAUUACAGAGUGCUUUGAGCAGAGAGGUGAAAUUGCUGUUAGUAUAUAAAAAUAUACAAACUACUAGACAAUUUUUGUCUAAAAUGUACACUACUUCUCAAAAGUCAUUACAUUUUUUUUUUUUAAAGAAAAUAAUAUUUUAUUCAGUGAGGAUGCAUUAAAAUUAAUCAAAAGUGGCAGACUUUUGAUUUGAUAAACAUGAUUGCUAUUAUAAGAAAUGCUGUUCUUUUGAGAUUUCUUUUCAUUAACGUAUACUGAAAAAUUGCCACGAUUUCCACAAAAAUAUUAACCAGCACAACUUUUUUUUUCAGCCUUAAUGUUUCUUGAGCACCAACUCAGCACAUUAGAAUGAUUUCAAAUUUUUUAAAAUAAGUUAUUGUUCAAUAAGUUUAUUUAACUGUUGUGUUAGACUGUUGUACAGUAAAAGCAAAAUCAUACUCUCAACUGGGCUGCU